UGUUCUUUAAAUUAAAGGUGACCUCUUCAUGAAAGUUGCCGUUCAUAGACGGGCCCGCGUACCAUUAGCUUGUUGGUGGGGUAAUGGCCUACCAAGGCGACGAUGGUUAGCUGGUCUGAGAGGAUGAUCAGCCACACUGGAACUGGAACACGGUCCAGACUCCUACGGGAGGCAGCAGUGAGGAAUUUUGCGCAAUGGGGGAAACCCUGACGCAGCAACGCCGCGUGAGCGAAGAAGGCCCUCGGGUCGUAAAGCUCUGUCAAGUGGGAAAAAAAUCUUUUGAUCAAUAGUCAAAAGACUUGAUGGUACCACUGGAGGAAGCACCGGCUAACUCCGUGCCAGCAGCCGCGGUAAUACGGAGGGUGCAAGCGUUGAUCGGAUUUACUGGGCGUAAAGAGCGUGUAGGCGGUUUAGCAAGUCAGAUGUGAAAGCCCUGGGCUCAACCCGGGAAGUGCAUUUGAAACUGCUUCACUAGAGUAUGGGAGAGGAGAUUGGAAUUCCUGGUGUAGAGGUGAAAUUCGUAGAUAUCAGGAGGAACACCCGUGGCGAAGGCGAUUCUCUGGACCAAUACUGACGCUGAGACGCGAAAGCGUGGGGAGCAAACAGGAUUAGAUACCCUGGUAGUCCACGCCGUAAACGACGAGAACUAGGUGUAGUGGGUAUUGACCCCUGCUGUGCCGAAGUUGACCAUUAAGUUCUCCGCCUGGGGAGUACGGCCGCAAGGCUAAAACUCAAAGGAAUUGACGGGGGCCCGCACAAGCGGUGGAGCAUGUGGUUUAAUUCGACGCAACGCGAAGAACCUUACCUGGGUUUGACAUCCUCUGACAGUCUGUGAAAGCAGAUUUUUCCGGCUUUGUCGGAACAGAGUGACAGGUGCUGCAUGGCUGUCGUCAGCUCGUGUCGUGAGAUGUUUGGUUAGGUCCAGCAACGAGCGCAACCCCUGUCUUUAGUUGCCAUUAUUAAGUUAGGCACUCUAAAGAGACUGCCUCGGUUAACGGGGAGGAAGGUGGGGAUGACGUCAAGUCCUCAUGGCCUUUAUAUCCAGGGCUACACACGUGCUACAAUGGGCUGUACAAAGGGUUGCUAUCCCGCGAGGGGGCGCUAAUCCCAAAAAGCAGUUCUCAGUUCGGAUUGAAGUCUGCAACUCGACUUCAUGAAGGUGGAAUCGCUAGUAAUCGUGGAUCAGCAUGCCACGGUGAAUACGUUCCCGGGCCUUGUACACACCGCCCGUCACACCACGAAAGUCGACUGUACCAGAAGUUGCUGGGCUAACCUCUUCGGAGGAGGCAGGUACCUAAGGUACGGCCGGUAAUUGGGGUGAAGUCGUAACAAGGUA
rnacentral:rRNA from 1 species